GACGGGGGAUGCAAGUGUUAUCCGGAAUAAUUGGGCGUAAAGCGUCUGUAGGUGGUUUACCAAGUCUGUUGUUAAAAAUCAGGGCUUAACCCUGAUCCGGCAACAGAAACUAGUAGGCUGGAGUACGGUAGGGGCAGAGGGAAUUCUCGGUGUAGUGGUGAAAUACGUAGAUAUCGAGAAGAACACCAAUAGCGAAAAGCACUCUGCUGGGCCGAAACUGACAUUGAGAGACGAAAGCUAGGGGAGCGAA
rnacentral:rRNA from 1 species